UACGUAGGGGGCAAGCGUUGUCCGGAUUUAUUGGGCGUAAAGAGCGUGUAGGCGGCCAAACAGGUCAGCUGUGAAAACUCGAGGCUCAACCUCGAGACGUCGGUUGAAACCGUUUGGCUAGAGUCCGGAAGAGGAGAGUGGAAUUCCCGGUGUAGCGGUGAAAUGCGCAGAUAUCGGGAAGAACACCCGUGGCGAAGGCGGAUCUCUGGGCCAUUACUGACGCUGAGGAGCGAAAGCGUGGGGAGCGAACAGG
rnacentral:rRNA from 1 species